AGGGUUUGAUCCUGGCUCAGAUUGAACGCUGGCGGUAUGCUUAACACAUGCAAGUCGAACGGAAACGAUACUAGCUUGCUAGUAGGCGUCGAGUGGCGGACGGGUGAGUAACGCGUAGGAAUCUACCUAGUAGCGGGGGAUAGCCCGGAGAAAUCCGGAUUAAUACCGCAUAAUCUCUAUGGAGAAAAGGGGCCCUCUUCUUGAAAGGUUUCGCUAUUAGAUGAGCCUGCGUAAGAUUAGCUUGUUGGUGAGGUAAAAGCUCACCAAGGCGACGAUCUUUAGCUGGUCUGAGAGGAUGAUCAGCCACACUGGGACUGAGACACGGCCCAGACUCCUACGGGAGGCAGCAGUGGGGAAUAUUGGACAAUGGGCGCAAGCCUGAUCCAGCAAUACCGCGUGUGUGAAGAAGGCCUGAGGGUUGUAAAGCACUUUCAAUUGUGAAGAAAAGUUAAAGGUUAAUACCCUUUAGCCUUGACGUUAACUUUAGAAGAAGCACCGGCUAACUCCGUGCCAGCAGCCGCG
rnacentral:rRNA from 1 species